rnacentral:rRNA from 1 species
CCUACGGGUGGCAGCAGUGGGGAAUAUUGGACAAUGGGCGAAAGCCUGAUCCAGCCAUGCCGCGUGUGUGAAGAAGGCCUUCGGGUUGUAAAGCACUUUCAGUGGGGAAGAAAGCCUUGGGGCUAAUACCCUCGAGGAAGGACAUCACCCACAGAAGAAGCACCGGCUAACUCCGUGCCAGCAGCCGCGGUAAUACGGAGGGUGCGAGCGUUAAUCGGAAUUACCGGGCGUAAAGCGCGCGUAGGCGGUCUGAUAAGCCGGUUGUGAAAGCCCCGGGCUCAACCUGGGAACGGCAUCCGGAACUGUCAGGCUAGAGUGCAGGAGAGGAAGGUAGAAUUCCCGGGGUAGCGGUGAAAUGCGUAGAGAUCGGGAGGAAUACCAGUGGCGAAGGCGGCCUUCUGGACUGACACUGACGCUGAGGUGCGAAAGCGUGGGUAGCAAACAGGAUUAGAUACCCCAGUAGUC